rnacentral:rRNA from 1 species
UACGUAGGGGGCAAGCGUUGUCCGGAAUUAUUGGGCGUAAAGAGCGCGUAGGCGGUCCGAUAAGUCGGCUGUGAAAGUCAGGGCUCAACCCUUGAAAGCCGGCCGAUACUGUCGGACUAGAGUCCGGAAGAGGAGAGUGGAAUUCCUGGUGUAGCGGUGAAAUGCGCAGAUAUCAGGAAGAACACCCGUGGCGAAGGCGGCUCUCUGGGACGGUACUGACGCUGAGACGCGAAAGCGUGGGGAGCGAACAGG